rnacentral:tRNA from 1 species
AUGGCUCAGUGGUAGAGGACUUGCCUAGCAUACAUGAGUCCCUGGGUUCAAUUCCCAGU